CAUGACUGUAGGACCGAGAGGAGACUGAGAAACACAGGAAGCACCAGAGUGGUUGAAAGGAGCUGAAGACUCAGACAGCAGCCUAGACACUAAGGGUCCAAAGCCAAGGCCAAGGUCAAGCAGCUGGACAGAGACACAACUGCAAGCACAGACGUGGAUCCUGACCUGAUUUUCUGCAGAAGCAAGUCCCUGUUCAGAUUUCUACUGCCUCCUUUUGGAAUGAAGCCAGACCGGUCCUUUCCAUCAUGUGCUCCUGUGGACAAUGACCCCAGCUCAGCUAAGUAGUUGAUGGGACGUCUGAUUCAGGUUGGACUUAACAGAGACGUCUGAUUCAAUCAGUAUUCUUCUCCAGAAAUUUUGUAACCAGGACUUGUAAAGGGAGGGAAUUGCUCUCCAGUGGGGAGAGCCGCAGAACGUGAGAUGUGGGGACCAAAGGCAGCCAUGUUUUCUGUCUUGUGAUGGAAUCCAAUCUUCGGCAGGAGAAAAAAUAUGAAGCCAGCACUAGACAACACAUAUCAAAUAGGGACCAUUGCUUCAGCCUGACUCCAGGAAUCAGCAGACAGAGCAGCCUUAUUGUCCACCUGCUUCCUGCAGCACAGCCUCAGAACCACAGAGUUACAGCCAACCAGCUCCUGAUACGGAACUUAAGCAACAAAUGCCCUUUGUUUUUGCAAGUCCCUGAGAUUUAGAAGCUGUUACACAGCAUUCUCUCAGCCAGAACCGACUGACA